rnacentral:lncRNA from 13 species
UGAAGACCUUGGUUGGGGGAUUUCACCAAGUCAGCAGAAACAAGAUGGGAACCUGCUUAUAAAAGUAGCCUGGCCACAUUUUCAUAGAGCAGCUGUGAUGUUCUGGCCACUCUGAAGUCCAAAGGCUGAAAUGGCUAAGUCACCCAAACAGCAAAGAUGGUGACCUGCUCCUCCCUCUGAGAGCUCUGUCCCAGAGGUUCCAUCAGCCUCGGUUCCUGAGUAACCAUAACACAGGACUAACUUGAGAUGGACACAUAGCCUGAGUAAGAAAUCAGACUUGAAGGUUUCUGAAGUACUACAGAAUAACCCAAGUUUUCAUAGAACAUGUCUGGCAUCAUUCGUUGCAUAUACAAUGUCUAAACAUUUGGUGGCACAAGAAGAGAGGACACUAAGAAAAGCUGUGCCAGGGGCCCCAAGUGCUUGUGAAUGGGAAGAAUCCUUGGGCAUUUUAAUGAUUCUGCCAUUUGGGAGGAGAUGAUAUGCAAUAAUGAGAACUACCUUCAGUGUUAAGUACACAAUUUGGAAAUGUAUUGUUGCAGGUAUGCAUAUUUGUAUAUGAAAAAUAUUAACUGAGAAAUUCAUGAGCUUCUUAGCAAAA